CCUUUGCCCUCGAGCGACGCCACACCAGACCCUUCGCCCUCGCAGCCGCCACCGAUCCCCUCCCUCAAACGCCGCCGCCCGUCGCUGCCGCCCCCGCCACCUCCCGUCGCGGGCAGGUGGGAGGAGCCCUGCCCGGCCAUGGCGACACCGCCGGUGGCCUCCUCCUCCCCCUCACCUUCUCUCCCUCUCCCAAGGGAGGGAAGAGAAUGGAAGGGAUCUGAUUGGAGCGGUGGAUCUGCGCCCUUGCCGUCUCUUCUUUUCUUCACCGAUUUCAGGAGGAGAUGGAAGUGGGAGGUAGACGAGCAGGAGCGCCGCGUCCGCGACAGCGAUGAGCGACGACCCAGGUUCUCCUCUCCCAUGGCAGGGGUCGGCGAGUGGCAACAGAUGCGGGACACCAACUGGUGGCGCAACGGACAGCGAGAGGCGGGACACCAACUGGGCGCGCCUCUCGCGGCCGACUUCCACGGCGGCGACGUUGUUUACCUUGGCGCCUGCUUCUUUCCGACUCAGCGAUCCCCGCGGGCACCGAUGGACGGCGACGGGCAGCACGUGCGGCCGCGGAGCCGCGCGCUCCUGACCGACGACGAGGAUGACGGGACGUACGCCAGCGACGUGUACAGCGGCAACCUCGCCACGGGCGGGUCUCGUGCUGGCGGCAUCUUGGGGCGGUAGCAGUACUUGGUGCAGCGCCGCCACGGCGACUACGGCAGCGUCGGGGUCAUCGUCGUCCUCAUCCGCACAGGGAAGCUGGACUGGGAGGUUUACUGCUUCCGGUCGGCAGACGAUGGAUAUGACGCUAUGCCCAGCACGAGUGCUAACGCCAUCACGGCCGGCACCACUGGCACCAGCAGCCGUUCGGUGUGCUCUCCGGCAUGCUGCAGUCGAAGGGUCGAGCAGGAGCUAUGGAUGCCAGCAAACAAGCCUGUGCAGACGGCAAUGCAUCAAUCAAAUCGGAUGGAGAACAUCACACAACAGCCUUUCUCCAGGACAUAAAGAAAAUGGUGGCACUUUGGGUUUUGAAGACGCCGCCUCGCGUAGGACUACGAACAUGGGACGCUCAGUCGAGUUUUUCUUAACUCGUCAGGAUUCUCAUGCUGCAAAUUUAGUAACGGGGCAAAUUUUUUGGUGUCCUGUUGUGUUUGCGGAUUGAUGAAAAUUUGGCGAGGGAGAUCAUAAACCAUCGCUCGCUGCAGCACAUCAAUUGUUGAAUUCGUUUGAAGGAGCUGUCAAUUGUUGAAUUCGCUUGAAGGAGAUGGAGCUCGUUUGGCUGAAUUUGCUACUGAGCUGCCACAUUUUGAGGGCCUGCAAUUGAAGAAUACAACACUUGAGAUAACAAUUGAAGAAUACUAGAGUAAUAAUAACUACUGCAAGAUUGAUGUAUUUUCUUUUUGUUGGAGAUUUUCUGCAUCUUUUAUGGACGGUAACAUUUGAGAUAACAAUUUGAUGUGCUAACCAUCAAGAUCAACUUUGACAUGUUUGGUCUCUAAAAGUUACUAUUGACCAUCAUUAGUACAUCCUAUAAGGUAUAGUAAGUACUAUGAGUAACUUACCAGACGUUGACUGUAGAAGUUGCUAUCCAACUCUUGUGAAAUCUAACCAUGUUAUUCAUUUACGAUACCUGUACGUAUGUGGUACACAAUCUGAAAUAGUAGAAGGGGAAAAUAAAGCAUUAAUGUGGAGUAUGUUCCAAUGGAAAUCUUCAGGAACACCUUGAAGGUCUGAGUGCAAUUUUUCUUUAGUUCUCUGUGAGCUUAAAAAUGCAACUGAUGUGGCCCAUGCAACUGAAAUUAAAAACAUGGAGAAGAAUCAUAAAAGAUCUCGCUGAAAAUGCCCUCGUUCCGCACUUCGUGUGGACAGGCAGCGCCCUUUACCUUUGAAGUCUCGAAAAAUGGUCUGGGUGAUGCGGGUGCCUCAAUGCUUGAUGCCAUGUUCUGUAAGAGGCCAAGGUUGUAUUUGGGUGUCCACGCGCUACAGGGAAUUACUGUGCGGAGUAGUAAGAAUUGAUUUAAACGUAGAGCCUAGACUCGCACUCCAUGAGCAUCCAUGGCCGGCGAGACAGGACCCUCGACCCUCGGCCUCUGUUGAGAAGGAUCGUUCCACUGUGUCCGAUUUGUAGUACAGAGCAAUCUCAUUCCUCUGAAGUUCCUAUUGGGAAAAUG